rnacentral:rRNA from 1 species
GAUGAACGCUGGCGGCGUGCCUAAUACAUGCAAGUAGAACGCUGAAGGAGGAGCUUGCUCUUUCCGGAUGAGUUGCGAACGGGUGAGUAACGCGUAGGUAACCUGCCUGGUAGCGGGGGAUAACUAUUGGAAACGAUAGCUAAUACCGCAUAACAGUAGAUAUUGCAUGAUAUUUGCUUGAAAGGGGCAAUUGCUCCACUACCAGAUGGACCUGCGUUGUAUUAGCUAGUUGGUGAGGUAACGGCUCACCAAGGCGACGAUACAUAGCCGACCUGAGAGGGUGAUCGGCCACACUGGGACUGAGACACGGCCCAGACUCCUACGGGAGGCAGCAGUAGGGAAUCUUCGGCAAUGGACGGAAGUCUGACCGAGCAACGCCGCGUGAGUGAAGAAGGUUUUCGGAUCGUAAAGCUCUGUUGUAAGAGAAGAACGAGUGUGAGAGUGGAAAGUUCACACUGUGACGGUAUCUUACCAGAAAGGGACGGCUAACUACG